ensembl:lncRNA
CUCUCCUUUGUUCAGAGACAGCCCGGCAGAUCUAUUCCCUAAUAAAGGCUUGUUGUGGCCUGGUCUGGUCUUGGUCUUCGGCCCUUUUACCUGACAUUUCUGGUGCCGUGACUCGGAUGGUAGAUGGUCCAUUAAGGGACGAUCCCCCCGCAGGACGGGGUUGAUUGACCUUUUGGCCAUCUCCAACGGACCUAUCUGCCGUUGCCAGGACCCUCCGGGGCUUUCUACCUUUGCCAUUGCUGACGCUACACAUCCACACCGGUCACCAAUGUCUGGGUGAGUAGGGAGUUCAGCCUCCCUCUCGUCGGGUUCUCUGUCUCGUUCUCUCUCCCUCCGGGGACUUCCUCAGAAAUCCAAGCGCUUGGUCAGAGAAACCCCCACGGCCUCUGGGCCCAGGACCGUGCCCCUGGGAGACGUCCCAUCGGCCCGCCUCCUCUCGUUCUCUCCCUCUGGGAGACUCACUCGGAGAUUGUCAAAGGAGACAAGGACGCUUCUCCCCUUUGUCUUUCUCCCCAGGGGCUGCCUCCCCCUCACCCGCUCUAAUCAGGGGGCCCAACAAUCCAAACCCCGCCCCUCAACGCCUCUGGGCUGCCUUCUGGCACAACUCAAACCCCUCGGAUUGUUGGGACCAGACUUUAGGCCAAAAAGAUUUGUUUUCUAUUGUAAUCAGGUUUGGCCUCAGUAUAAAUUAGAUAAUGGGUUUCCACGCCCCAAAAAUGGCACUUUCAAUUUUAACAUACUGUGUGAUUUACACAACUUCUGUCAGUGCAAUGGCAAAUGGUCAGAAAUCCCCUACAUACAAGCCUUUUCUACCUAUGCUCUUAACCCUCCCUCUGUCAAACCUGGGGCCCAACAAUCCAAACCCCGCCCCUCAACGCCUCUGGGCUGCCUUCUGGCACAACUCAAACCCCUCGGAUUGUUGGGACCAGACUUUAGGCCAAAAAGAUUUGUUUUCUAUUGUAAUCAGGUUUGGCCUCAGUAUAAAUUAGAUAAUGGGUUUCCACGCCCCAAAAAUGGCACUUUCAAUUUUAACAUACUGUGUGAUUUACACAACUUCUGUCAGUGCAAUGGCAAAUGGUCAGAAAUCCCCUACAUACAAGCCUUUUCUACCUAUGCUCUUAACCCUCCCUCUGUCAAACCUGUUCUUCUCAAGUACUCCUAGCCUGAGCUGAUCACUCACCGCUCAUACCUCCCCCACUUUAUAACUCUGUUGAUAAGAAAAAGUUUUAAAGCUUAAUAGAUUAGCUAUUAAAGUAGUUGUGGAAGCAAACUAAGUAGUGUAUCCCUUUAAAAACUUGCAUUAGCCCAUUGCUUCUGCUGUUCAAAGUAAAGGUUAUAUAGCUUCUUUGAUUUGUAGCUCCACUAUAGAUAACAUCCUAACUAAAGAAUGAAGUAAAAAUCCUUGAACAAACUUGUGAUAUAUGUGCCUUAAUUGUCAUGUGUUUAGGGCUGUAAUCAGUGACAGAAACCACCUGUGUCUAACCAUUAAACAGGAAUUAGAACUUUAUUUACUUAACAAAGACCACUAGGGAUGAGAUAAUGAUGGACAAAAGUAUAAAAUGUUUAUAGUGAGUCGGAGACAAAAUAUUUAAAAAGCUAUAAGUAAAAGAUAUAUUUUUGAUAUAAAAGGAUUUUAUAUGUUUGUCUUAUUAGCAGGACAAGACCAAAAGGCCUAAGUACAUCAAGAAGGUGUGCGAAAGUGAUUUAUAAAGGAAAUAUAUGUUUACUUGUUGGUUUCAAGUUUAUUAUAAAAGGUUUACAGGAAUAGAGGUUUCAUUCCUUCUGAUUUUAAUUCUACAAGAG